AAGGUCCACUCUCAGUGAUGGUUUUCUAAAAAGGAAAGCAGAGCAAGGUCAAACUUAAUGGUUGUGGAAAUCACCUGAAACAUGAUUUUAACGCUUUUCGGAAAGUAAAGAAAGGAAAAUAUAAAAAGGUUGUUGGAAAACACUCGGAAUUCAACAUAAUGGGUGAGGAAAUCACCCAGGAAUCAGACAUGUUGAUAUUUGGGCAAAACAGGAGGCGUAUACUAAGUUUUAAAAACUGUAUAAAAGGAAUCCCCGUCUUUGGGGAUUUUUAGAGCACUUUGAGACUCCUCCAUGUGUGGAUCUCACAGUAAAUUGGAACCUUUCUUUUCUCACUCCUUGUUCUCCGUGUUUUUCUUCAUCCUCAAUUUGAUACAUCUUGCAAAAGGGGGGCCUCAGGCAAAUCUUAAUGCCAUUUGGGGGGCCAUGCCCUGGAAAAGUUUGGGAACCUCUGUGGUAAGUACACCUCUCCCUUUUUCACAUUGGGACUUGGUAGAUUUAGGUUGACACUGCGAUCUUUGUGUUAAGGUAAGAGUGGGGAGUUGAGCAUCUAAAUCUACUCUAAGGCAAAUCCCUAGCCAAAGACGCUACGUGACUCUGCUGCUGUUUUGCUUCAUCUGACUUGUUUUGCUUGAUCGGUUUCUUGUUUUGCUUCAUGCUUUUAUUUAUUGUCUUGCUUUGUCAAGUAUUGUUUGUUGUGCUAGUGUCUCUAUUUUUGUUGACUUUAGUUUUGGAUGUAUGUUUGGCUUAUGAUCUGCAACCACAUAUAGUCUGAGAGGCUAAGUGGUAAAUUAGUGUUUUCCAGCUUCCAACCUGUUUCAGGUGCUGUUAACUGCCUCUAGUUCAUGUGGUGGUGUUAAUGGGCCUGGGUGAUCUAGCCACCACCCCAUGGAGCCAGUGAGUCUUGGUGGGACAGGAGAGGCUAGCUGCAUUUAUUCGGUGGUGUGUGCUUCACAGCGUGCUCAGUGUGCCAACACAACACCUUCCUUAUGCUGAAGGUAGUGUUUGAUGAUUUUGGUGUGACUUGCAGUGGGUUUGGAUGACCUCCUGAGCUGUAGCUGACCUGCCUUGUUCCUGACAAGCCUGGGCCUGGAGAACUGCUCAGUUUUAAAAUCCUUAUUGUGCUUCAUGGGAGAGAUUUGAUAUUUACAUGUCAAGUUUUAAUGAUGCUUAAGUGUCAUAAUAAAAUAUAAUUUUUUAUAUUCA